rnacentral:lncRNA from 1 species
AGAGCACAUCUCUAAAAAAGAAAGGCACAGCACCCAGGUUCUAGUUCUUGACUUUAAUGCCCUUGGAGUGUACUGAGGCUCAAUACACCAAAGCACUCACAGACAGGUACAUGAACUCACACAGGAAGUGUUAUAGUGUGUACAUAAACCCAACACCAUACAGAAGGAAGACGACGGACCCAGGUGACCUCCCACACUCGAGGUGACUGCCUGUUCCCAUACUCACUGUUUGUUCCCACCUCCCUCAACCCCUGCCAACCCCCAUCCUUCCCCACUCAAUAUGUAUAUACACAGAUAUGAUUCUUUCAGAAUUCCAAAAAGUGCCUCUCCCACCCCAGUUCCCAACACUCCAGCUUUGGAUGAAAAAAGCCUCUCUCUUUUAAGGAUCAUGAGACAGGCACCACCUUCACGCAAGAGCCCCAGCAAAAUAGUACCCAAGAAAGCUUAAUAAUGUAUAUUGGAAUCAAAUAUGGAUAGAACAUAUGCAGAAGGACAAUAUUUGAAAUAUUACUAGGAUCAAAACGCUCAGCAUCGGUAGUUUUUGUUUUGUUAUUGCUGUUUGCUUUAACCUGUUCAAGAGCUGGUUUAGACCAAGACCACACAUGGAUGCUCACACCGCCUGUGUCUUAUAAAUGUCACUUCCUAUUCCUCCAGCAAGCAGCCCAGAACAGGAAGAUUAUAUCACCUGAUAAGCCUUAGGCACAAGGCUCAGACAGCUCCCAGAAUAUCCUAAGCCCCAGGAAAGAAGAACAGAAACUUCCAGAGUACAGCUGACUGCUUUCUGCAUGGUACUAUGGAAGAUAUCAAGGUCCCAUACUCA